rnacentral:lncRNA from 1 species
AUAAAAAGGAAGAAAGUGGUAAAUUUUCACUAUACAAUCUAUUUACUCAAUUUGUAUGAACAAAUGCAUAUUACAGAUACACUCAGACACAAAUGUAAAUACAUGCAUAUAUGUAUGUGUAUGUGUGUGUGUGUAUAUAUAUAUAUAUAUAUAUAUAUAUAUAUAUAUAUAUAUUGUAUCUUUAUAUAAGCUUAAAGCUUAUGUCUCGUGCAGAUAGGAAAGCCUUCUUUUUUCUGUCAAGGGCUUAUAUGCCCCAUUAUUAGACUAUUUUCCUUAGUCAUUGCACAGUGAUAUUAUUUUCCAUUAUUAUUAUUUACAGAAUUGUAAAAUACGGUGCCGUAUAACAAAAGCAUUCACACCAAAAGCAAAUAUAUAUAUAUAUAUAUAUAUAUAUAUAUACCAGAGUAAGCACAUAAAUGCAAAACAAGGUGGAAAAAAUAGUACUUGAAUACCAGAGGUAGAGUAAUAUGCUUUAUUAAAAAGGAGCAAAAAUAUCACAAAAACUGUUACUCAGAGUUUCAUGUUCCCAUUCGUUGGACAGUUUUGUUUAGAAUGGAGCAAGAUAAAAUUAUAUGCAGAAAUAUAAUUACUUUGAAAGAUACACAUUUGAAAUCGGUCCUUUCAGCUAACAGCCUUUCCAAUAACCGGUUGCAUGAAAUAACAAAUUGCAGUUUAAAAUCAUAUUAUUAUAAAAAUCAAAGGAAGCUUUAAAUCAAAAAUAGCGUAUAAAGAAGGAAAAGGCCUAAAUACCCAGAGUAAAUAAUUAGCUGUAAAAUAUUAAUAAAUUAAAAGAUAUAUCCGUUUAAAAAAAUUUUUAUACUAGAUCACAUAUACAUUUAGCAAUAUAUACACAUACCAAACAAUCUAUAAUAUACGUAUAUACACUAAAAAUACAGAUGCAGGUACAUGGCUACAUACAUAUACAGACAUAUAUAGGCAAGACAUAAAUAUAUACAAAUGCAUAUAUAUGUAUGCACGCACACAUAUGCACGUGCACAAAAUUUGCUGGUGUAUGCUUAUAUAAGUUAGUUGUUACAGGCUAAAGAAAGAAAAGGGCAAAAUCAGAGAAUAACAAGUGGUGGGGGAGAAAGAAAAAAGGGGAAAUGAAGAAAAUGAAAUAAAAGAAAGAGAAGCAAAAUUAGAGAGAGUGGAAUAAUGGCAUUUGAAAAGUAUCUAGCAAACGUUAGAUACUUCGUUCAGCUUGCGAAAUGAACACAUAAAAAUGCACGCAUAAAAUUACAUGUAUCUCUACAUAAAUACAAACAUAUAUACAAAUACACACACAUAUAGACAUGCAUACAAAUAUACAAAAAAUAUGUAUGCAAAUACAUGCCCACAUAUAUAAAUGUAUAUAUACAUAUAUAUAUAUAAAUAUGUAUAUAUACGUAUAUAUAUAUAUACAUACACAUACCUACAAUACAUGCACAUAAAUAUAUAGAGACAUAUCUUCACAUCAAGAUAAAUAUAUACAUCAUAUUGUAUAUACGCAAACAAUUUUCAAAAAACUAUCUGGUAUAUAUAAUAUUAAAAUGUUAAAAUAAGGAAACUGGAAAAUAAAUUGAUAUAACAUAAUUAAAUGCAUGAGUUAACAAUAAAAAUAAACCUCGGCGAAGCUUAAGCUUAAAUUUGUAAAACCGUCAAAGGUUUUCUUAAAAGUGAAGUCGAAAUAUGCACUAACAUUGCAAUACCAAAUAACUAUAAGAUGUAAAGUCAAAUUCAAAUGCAACAAUCAAAAUUUUCUGAAAGUCAAAACAUUUUACCCAUAUGGUAUUUUAUCGGUUGACAUUUUAAACCUCAUAGUCUACAAGAAUUUAAGAGCUCACGUCUCUGGUUCAAAGCAUGUUUGGCCUGGAACAGGAUGAAGAACUUUUCUGAGAGGCAAAGAUUACAUUUCAUAGGUCUUUUAUAAGCGCAUGUCUGUGUGAUGAUGCUUUUUGUAGAACUUCCCAGGUUACAUUGAAAGGACAGGUGUUAGUCUCUUUCAAUUCCCAGAAAAGUUUUGUAAGACUUGUUAUUGUCUUAUUCUCAGGGUAUCGGAAAUAAUUUCGGCGGGAAUAGAAUUGAGUCUUGAAUGAAUUUUCUGAAGCUCCUGUGUACGUUUUAUAUUCUUGUAAGCCAUCUUACAUAUUAAGCAACACUAAUAAUAAAUAAAAAAACAAAAAUAAACAAGCUUUUGACAGUUUUAUAGAUAUUUCAAAAUUAUGAUGCUAGGUGUUUCCAUUUUGUUCAACCCCUGUGUAUGUAUGUAUAUAUAUAUAGAUGUGGGUAUGGUAAAAGUAGACCAGAAACAGGGAAAGGCAGUGUUGAAGUGGUGGAGAAGUUAUGGGGAGGCAGUGAGAGAAUAGGUAGUGGAAAGCAAAUGAUGAAUGGCAGUACAUGGAUGAGAGGAGAGAUAUGAAUGGUAGGGUGAUGUUUGAAAUGAUUGAAAUAGACACAAAUAGAAUGAUAAAGAUGAACCAAUUCAGUCUCUUGUACACAGCCCUAGUGAAGGAUAGAAGAAGUAGGGGCUGGCCAUUCAUAGUUUGCAAGCUUUAUAGGUAAUGAGGAAAUGAGAGAUGGAGAAGUAUGAGUGAUUUGAGAGACAAGCUGAUUGAUAUAAAUGAAGAGAUGGAUGAAAGGGUGAAGAUUAGUGAAGGUGAAAACAGUUAUGUCAUUAAAUUUGUAAGGAAAUUUCACCUACAAGACAGUUCAACCAUAAAAAAUUUCUAUAAAAUUUUUAAUUGUCCUAAUUCUCAAAUAUAUUUUCAAUUUUUAUUCUGUAUGUGAAUUAUUGGUAACAUUAGUAGCCAAGGUGUCGUUUUGACAUUUCAUAUUAUGUUGAAGAAAAAUUGUUUAUGUAUAGUCUUUUAAAGGUGAUCAACUUGUCACUAGAAAUUUUUUGUUGUCUGUUUAAUUUUGUUCAGUUGUAGUAAAGAGACAUCAAAAAAGUGUUAGUUAAAAAAAAGAUAGUCAAAAAAAUUUGAGAAUUAUUGCUGUAUAAGAUAUUUAUGAGUACCUCAAAUUAUAUGUGAAAUGGCUAAUAGUAUAAGUGAAAAAUAAAGGAACACUGGUAUGACUGCAGUGACAAGAAGCCAGCAUCAAUACUUUACCAACAUGCCGAAGAUAAGUAUGGUGGUUUGAUAGACAACAUUAAGACAAAAUUAUUUGCUAUACAUUUGCAUGAUCCAACAUUUAGACAAGUUAGGUAAGCAUUACACAUACUAGAGACAGAAUCCUAACUCACCCACUCCCUCAACAGAAAGUAAAAAUGAAAUAACUGCAACCCAACGACUACCACAACCCAGAUGUUAAUAACACCACUUCAACCCAACCACAUUGACAAUAGAUACAACCAGAGGUAGGCACUGUUAAUCGAAAAAUCAACUUUAUUAAUCAUUAAUCCGUUAAUUCUUUGAAAUGUAAUAGAAGUUAGCGUUAACUGUUAUUGAAAAAAUGUGUAACUACAGUUUAAUACUCCACCGAUUUGUUGCCUCAUAACUUCCAGAAAAAUGCAUAAUUUUUAACGAAACUGUCACCAAAUAAUCACUUAUAUCCUGUAGAUUGAGUGUAUGUAAAGAUUUGUUGGAAAACAAUUUUCUGAGGAGUUCUGGAAAAUUCAUACAACCCGACAUUUCCCCCUCAUAACUUUCUGGAAAAUAGGCAUUUUUUAAUGAAAUUUUAUACAAAUACAUUUCAAAUGGUGUAGAUUAUGAUUACAAAGAAAUUUGUAGGCAAAUUUUUUGGAAGGGGGUGGGGGAAGGAGUUUCUAGAAAAUGGAGUUUCAGAUCAGACGGCCCACAUAAGCUGAAAUUUCUCCAUUUUGAUAGGGAUUUUCCCCAAUGUUUUUCACCAGUCUUCAGAAUAAUGGGAGGCAUCUUUUCAUAAAAAAAGGAAAAGAAUUUUGAAAAUUUUUUUUUCACUCUCGCCACCCCAUCACUUCCCCAGUUCAAAACAAUUUUGGCCAUUUUUUUUUCACUACACACUUAAAACCCAUGAGAGAAACAUUUUUGGUUUUUAAAAAAUUGUUAAUAAUUUCAGAGGAAAAUGUGUGAUUUAAGGGAGAUCUGGCUGUUGUUUCUAGCACAUCCCAAAACCUCCCACCUCAUUUCUUUCUCACUCACAUAUCUAUUGAUAAUUUUCUACCCAUAAACAAAUUUUCUGGAAUGAUGAUGUCGAAGUAACACACAUGUAGUCCCAAUUGAGCAAGGCUGUGUUAUGUGUGUGUAAGAAAAAGACACCUAAAAGCAUCUUUAGUGUUCAUAUUAAUCUAUCAAAUGUAAUGCUUUUUUUGUUCAUGUUAUUUUGAAUUAUUCAUGUUCAAGAGGGGUGUCCACAAUAUUUGCUUGUAACUUUGUAAAUUUUUUACAUACAUAUUUGAAAUUUUGUCAGUGGGUGCUUUAUAUACCACUAGUUUAUAGUUAUGUAAUUUUAGCUGAUCUUGCUGAGUGAAUUUGACUUUUAUGGGCAGGUAAAUUUGAUUAACAGGUGUAAAAGCAAUAACAUUAUGGAUAAACACUAAAAUUAAAAUUAUUAAUGAUUCUUACUUGUUUGAUUUGUUACUAAAAUUAUCCCAGAUGGCAACCGACAAAAAUGUUGCCACUUUUCAAGACAAGGUACAUUGAUUUGAAUAAAUUAAAAUACAGGUAUAAUUGGUACAAGAUUUUAUUCUUUCAGUAAAUAUUUCGUAUCUCAGUGUAGAAUAAUUUUUUUCCACAGUUUUUUUUAAUGCAUUCAGCAUAUCUGACCUCCAAAACCACUACAAGCCACUUUUUUCUGGAAAAGAAAGGUAGGAGAGGUGGUUGAGACUUUGAAGUUUCCCACCAAAGGAGUUUUGUUUCAUGGGUCUUUUUUUCUUUCCUGAUUAUUUUGCAUGCUUUCAAUAAAUGUGACAUCGAAAAUCAUGCGUAAACGGCCCCUUUUUCCAGAAGAGAAAGUACUUAGUUACUAUUUCUAGCAUGCCCUGCUACCAUGUAACAGCUGUUUGUGUUCACAUCAAAAUAUUUACCAACUAUUUUCCUUCCAUUUAUUUUUCCCACUUUAUGGAAGUCAAUAUUUUCUCUGUUGACAUCCACCUCAGUUAAUUUUGCUUUAUUCCUAUCUCUGUGCUUUCUGGAAGAAAAGCCCUUACAUUAUCUCAAAGCUACAAGAAGUCACUUAUUUGGGUUAAUGGACUUGAGUUAACAGAAGCUAAAUGUAAUGGAAGUUAAUUAGUCCAAUAAUAAUUUUCAAAGUUAACUUAAAAGUGAAAUCAUUAACGAUUAACGGACUUAUGCCCAGCUCUGAGCACAACGAUAAAUAAAAAUACAAAUUUAUGCAAUUUGAUAUAACAUAACUUAUAACAUUACAAUAUUACACUACCUCAGGACAAAAAUUAUAUAUACAUACAUUGAAUACAUGCAUGCCUAUAUGCAGCUCUUCUCAUUUAUUUUCUAGAAUCUAGUGAAGAUGAGGAUAACCUGCACAACCACUUCAUCACUCCACCUAAUCUUCACAUGUUAAGUGAGAUGUUUCUCUGCAAUGGAGUACGACACAUUUUUGAUUUCCUGGCUGUGUUGCAGCUGUAAGUUUCUAAAACGUUUUUCUUUUCUCUACAUUACUUCAAUAUCAAUAAGGAAAAUUCUACACCAUCUUUUGAUCUUACAAAAAUAGCAGCCAAAUCUCAACCUCCCUAUACUAACUUAAGUAAGGGAAGGACAUACAGGCAAUGUAGUGAUAGAUAUACCAAAAAAUAGGAUAGUCACUAGUUGAAAGCCUUUAAUCAUAGGUCUUCUCUGUCAGAGUUUACAUGGGAUUAAAUAAUGGCAACAAGUUUAAUGUUCCAUCCUAGAACAAUUUUUGUUCACUUAAGUAAUUCUACUCCCCAGAUGUGUGUAAAAUAAAAGUAACUUAUUUACUUGUUUCAAUCACUGCCUUGAUGAAUUUUAGUCAAAUGAAUCGACCCCAAUAAUUCGUUUUUUUUAAACCUGAUACUUAUUCUAAGAGUAAAUGCUCAGUAGAUAGUCUAUGAAACUCUGAGGCCAUUCUAUAUGAGGUAGAGGUGGUAUCCACCAGUAACAGCAGCAAUGGCAGUGAUAGCAGCAGCAACAACAACAGCACCAGUAAUGUCUCUACUAGUAACAACAGCGACAGCAGUGGUAGCAGCAGCAACACCACUAACAUAAGGACACAUGCAUGGAAAUAUGUUGGAGCAACAGAGAGCCUCUUUAAGCUGUGAUUUGGAGUUAGCAAUCACACCUUGAUCCAUUGGCUAGAAUUAAGAAGUUUUAUUUUGGGGAUACAUCUACUCUCACAUUAUCAGAAAACUGAUUUAAGUUCACUGGGUGACAUAGUGCAUUAUCUAAAAGAAGCAAUGCUUUGUUGGAAAGAAUUAUGUCUGGCACUGUACCUUUCUACAAUAAGAUAAAAAAAAAAGAAGUUUAUAAUAAAAAUCACUCUUCAGAAAGGCUCUUUGUCAUUCAUGCCUUCAUUUUUGAAAGCUAGAUUAUAGGUAAGUUAAAUUUUGAGUAACCCAUGAAAGUAAGAUUAUGGUUUUGAUUCCUGGGCCAGGCAAUAUGUUGUGUUCUUGAGCAAAACACUUCAUUUCACAUUGCUCCAUUCCACUCAGCUGGCAAAAGGGAGUAAUCUUGCAAUGGACUGGUGUCCUAUCCAGUGGGGGUAGAAUAUAUAUUUCUUUACUACCCACAAGGGGCUAAAUACAGAGGAGACAAACAAGGAUAGACAAAGGGAUUGAGCCGAUUACAUUGACCCCAGUGCGUAACUGGUACUCAAUUUAUCGACCUUGAAAGGAUGAAAGGCAAAGUCAACCUCGGCGGAAUGGAGGUAGAAUAUAUAUGUCACAGAGUCCAGGAAACCAGCAUUAUGAGCCUAUGGCUCAGGAAGGACCUCUGAUCAUUUUGAUAUACUAUAUAUAUAUAUAUAUAUAUAUAUAUAUAUAUAUAUAUAUAUAUAUAUAUAUACAUACAGCAGGCUUCCACACAGUUUCUCUCUACCAAAUUUACUCACAUGACAUUGACAGGUCUGGAGUUUACGGGAGAAAACACUUGCCUAAGGUGCUGCAUAGUGGGACUGAACCUGAAACCACAUGGUUGCAAAGCAAGCUUUAACCCUUUAGCAUUUAAAUCAGCCAUAUCUAGCCCAAAUAUUCCACCUGUUCUAUGUUCAAACAAGCCAGAUCUGGCCUCCUACACUUAUCUUAUAAUGUUAUUUUUAAAAUAAAUAACCAAGAUAAUGCACAAUUAAUCAAUAAUAUGAAUACACCAAUUUGUUUUUUGUACAUACCUGAAGUGUGUGUCACACUUAACAGAAAGAAAUUGUUGAAAGAAAUUUUGUUGCUUAAAUAAAAAAUUUUAACUAGAUCUCUUGUAAUUUCUGGAAGAGAUUUGAAAGCACCACCUAUGUGUUGUGUUACUACUUCUCAACACCCAUGCUUACUUUUCCACUGAAGCAGCAACGAUCUUAAUAGGAAGAUUAAGUUACUUAAGGGAGAAAGGAAGUGAGAAAGAAAAAGAGAGAUAGUGAGAGGGAAUGGCUGAAUUCCUUUGAAUUCCUUUCUACGAUUGAACUGAAAUUGACCCCUGGCUGUUAAAGGCCCAACCACACACACACACACACACACACACACACACACACACACACACACACACACACACACACACACACACACGUACGCGCACGCACACAUUUGUUUUAAGUCUUCUACCCAUUUGAAUUUGGCCAUACACCAGAUAACAUGUUAAGUCUUAUGUUCCAAAAUUUAAAUUUUGAAUUUGUUUUAAUUAUAAAAUUACUCCUCAGCUAAAGAACAUCUUUUGGCUUUCUCUUUCUAUAUUUUUGUUAAGUUACAAUUUCUCUGUUUUGGUCAGGAUUUUUCCAAUUUCUUUUUUUUUUUUUUGUAUCAAGUAAUGGAUGAAAACAUUAAAAAAAUUAAAUUCAUAGAGCCGAACAAAAUCAAAAAUAUUAAUUCUAUUUUUUCUCUUCCUUUAAUACUAACAAGAGCAUAGUAUGAGAGAGAUUUGGCUGUUAUUUCUAGCAAAUUGAACAACCACACAGAGUUGUUCAAUUGGCUCAUUUGUUGAUGUGUAUAAGUAAACAAAAACUAAAAGACACACACAGACAUACAUAUGAAUAUAUUUUUGUUUGUACCCCCACCACUAUUGCUUGACAACCGAUGUUGGUAUGUUUGCAUCCCUGUAACUUAGCUGUUCUUCUGAAGAGACUGAUAGAAUAAGCACCAGGCUUACAAGAAAUAAGUCCAGGAGUCAAUUUCUUUGACUAAAGGGUGGUGCUCCAGCAUGGCCAUCGUUAAAUAACUGAAACACGUAACAGAAUAAAAGAAUAAAACGUUCCAUAUCACUAAACCAAGAGGGUUCUCUGAAUAUAUACGAUGUAUUUUAAGGCUAAAUAGUAAUACUGUUUAUGUUUGCAUAACUGAGAUAUUUUGAUUGGAUGAAUAUAGUUAUCGGUUUUACCCUUCUUUCUAUAUUCUGUAACUGUCACAAUAUACUUUUCUACUAUAGGCACAAGUCCUGAAAUUUUUGGUGGGAGAAGGCCAGUCAAUUAGAUUGACUCCAGUACGCAACUAGAGCUUAAUUUAUUGACCCCAAAAAGAUGAAAGGCAAAGUCGACUUUGGUAGAAUUUGAACUCAAAAUGUAAAGACAGAUAAAAUACCACUAAGCAUUUCGCCCAAUGUGCUGACGAUUCUGCUAGCUCACCACCUUUAACCAUCACGCUAUAGAAACAUUUCUCAUGGCACCAGCACACAAUUUACAGAUGCUUACAUUUUUUAUAUUUUCCGUGAAAUUUUAUGAGUCCAGCUAGUAUAAAAUAAUGUUAAUAAAUAAGCAUUGCAUUUGACAGAAUAAUCUGAAUGCUAAAGGGUUAAACACAGGCAUGCCUACACUUAUGAAAAAUAAAAACAGAAAUAAAAAUCUAUAAUCUGUCUGGUUUCUGUGUCAUUGUUAAGAAAAUAACUAUAAAUGAAAUAUUAAUGUUUACAUAUAGGCAGAGGUAUAGCUGUGUUGUAAGAAGCUUGCGAGCUGGCUGAAAUGUUGGCAUGCAGAGUGAAAUGCUUAGCGGUAUUCAUCUGCCAUUACGUUCUGAGUUCAAAUUCCGCCGAGGUCAGCUAUGCCUUUCAUCCUUUCAGGGUUGAUAAAUUAAGUACCAGUUACGUACUGGGUUUGAUGAAAUCAUGUAAUCGACUUGAUUCCUUUGUCUCUCCUUGUUUGUCCCUUCUAUGUUUAGCCCCUUGUGAGUAAUAAGGAAAUAAGAAGCUUGCUUCCCAACCACAUGGUUCCAGGUUCAAUUCCACAGUGUGGCACCUUGGGAAGCCUCAGGAUAACCAAAGCCUUGUGAAUGGAUUUGGUAGAAAGUAACUGAAAAAAGACUGUCAUAUAUAAAUAUUCAUGUAUGUGUGUCUUUGAGUCUGUGUCCUCCAUCACUGCUUGACAACUGAUGCUGCUGUGCUUACAUCUCUGUAAACUAGCAGUUCAACAAAAAGAGACCAAUAGAAUAAGUACCAGGCUUAAAGAAAACAGAAAAAUUAUUGGAAUCAUCUCAUUCAAUUAAAAAUUCUUCAAGGUGGUGUCCCAGCAUGGCCACAGUCUAAAGACUGAAACAAAUUAAAGAUAAAAGAUGUGGUCUACAGUGUAAAACUUAAAGAUAUUGUUUGUUUGCAGGUCUUCAGUAUUGAUUGGUUAUUGUCUGGCUGGUAGUGAAUCAUACUCUGAAAUACUACAUAUAGAGUGAGUAUAUUUUUCUUUGAGCUUUUUAUAGGCCUCUAAAUGUGAAGGUGUGUAGCUUGGUGGUUAGGGGUAUUCAGUUCACAAUCGUAAGGUUGUUAGUUCAAUUCCCAGCAACAUGUAUCCUUGAGCAAUAUUACUCCAAUCCAUUUUGCUGGGUAAAAUGAAUUUUACCUAUAUUUUAUUAUAUUCUGUGUCACACUGAAUCUCUCUGAGAAUCACAUUAAAUAUAUGUUUGUUUGUGGAAUGCUCGGCCACUUAUGCAUUAAUUUCAUGAGCAGGC